UAAAAGGUUUUUUUUAAAACCAUGAGAUUUAAAAAAAUAAAUACGU
rfam:Pelecanus crispus contig107577, whole genome shotgun sequence.